rnacentral:rRNA from 1 species
AACGAACGCUGGCGGCAGGCUUCACACAUGCAAGUCGAACGCCCCGCAAGGGGAGUGGCCGACGGGUGAGUACCGCGUGGGCACGUGCACAUCGCUUCGGAAUAGCCACGGCAAAAUGGGAGCAAUACCGCAUACGACGCAUUGGGAAAGAUUUAUCGGCGAAGGCUCGGCCCGCGUUAGAUUAGGUAGCUGGCGGGGUAAUGGACCACCAAGCCUACGAUCUAUAGCUGGUCUGAGAGGAUGAUCAGCCACACUGGGACUGAGACACGGCCCAGACUCCUACGGGAGGCAGCAGUGGGGAAUCUUGGACAAUGGGCGCAAGCCUGAUCCAGCCAUGCCGCGUGAGUGAAGAAGGCCUUAGGGCUGUAAAACUCUUUCGCCGGAGAAGAGAAUGACGGUAUCCGGAGAAGAAGCCCCGGCUAACUUCGUGCCAGCCGCCGCGGUAA